rnacentral:lncRNA from 1 species
GGGACAUGGGACAUGCCACACUCCCCAACAAGGCUAUGAUCUCAGAGAAUGGAUGUCACGGUCCCUCAGUUCUGCCAUGCUGAUGCCAUGGGAGGUGCUCAUUGUGGAGGAGGAUCACCAGCUCCGAGGACAGUUGAAGCUGGGAGGUGCCACUGGCCACCUUUGUCACCACUGAGAGAAGCAUGCCUGGUGUUGAAGCCAACACAGAGGUGAGCAAGGACGUGAAUGAAGAAAAAGAGACAGAGGCCCAGGGACCUCCAGCCAUGCCCACAGCCCAAGAGCCACCCCGGGCUUUUCAUACACGGAACACUAACAAAUACUCUGGGGUUAACUGGAGACCCCCACGGCUCCCGUAGGACCUCCAUAUGGAAACUGGUGGCAGCCGGAGGAAGAGGGGAUCUGAGAGUUGAAGAAACGGAUGCCCAAAGAAAGGAAUGGGUUGGCCUGUGGCACCCAGCCAGCAACUGACGGAGCCAGGAUUUGAAACAGAUUCACCCCGAAGGACAGAACCCAGAGGCUGCAUGUUCAGAAAGAUGACACAGCCAAGUUCCCCAAUAUCCACGACAGCCCUCUCUAUGGUUCCUAAGGCUCAUUAAGAUGGAAGAGCAAGACUCCAGCUUCUGGACAGAUUCCCAACAAGAAAAUUUAGAAGAGAGUAAGUUAGUCACUUAACUUUUUAAUCAGUCAAGAAGCAGGACCAAAGUGAAGGUUCCUUUGGGUGUUAGAUUCAAUAAAGCACCAUUGUAGGUAGCAUUCAUUGAGCACACACAAUGUGCCAAGUUCUCUCCAGAGUAAUUUACCCGUUUUAACUUCGUUAAUCCUCAUACAGUUUGAUGGUGCAGGACUGCUACUAUUAUUCCCAUUUCACAGAUGAUGAGACUGAGGCACAGAGAUUGAGCACUUGCUCAGAGUCUGCUAAAUUUACCAAAUAUUUUACAAUACUGCUUCCACAUAUAUUUUUUAUCUGAUAGCAUAACAAGCUUGUGAUUCACAGAUGAAUAUUUUCUUAGUUUUAUCACCUUCCUUUUAGGGACGGAGAACCAAAGUUUUGCCUUGGCCCCGCCCCUUUUGAGCUACGUAAGUCUGAGCAGGUGCUUUUCCUCUCCAGCCCCAAUUCCUAUAAAAUGGUUGGGGUGGAAGUGGAAUCUCUCUAAGAUCCCCCAAGCUGGAAAAUCCAAGAUAAUAAAUAGAGAUGGGCUUGUUCUCUGGAAUGUCCUUCCCCUAAGUUCUGGCAAAGUUGAGCUCUCUUGGCUUAAAUACAAGGAGGUUGGCAUCUCCUUAGUGGUUCUGAAUAAUUGUGUGGUUUAAUUAUCCAUGUGCCCAAGGGAAGAGGAGAGUGGGUGCAUUUUUUACACUGAUCUAAUCAAAGACUGCUUAAUUCAGGAUGAAGCUUCUCAGAGGGUGCAACAUCUCUGUUUCCAGGAGCACCAGAUGGAGGGGCUGGAGCUGGCUUCCCUCGAGGUGAUGCUGAGGAAAUGACACAGGGAGUUCACUCAUGAAAAGUCCCGGGGACAUCAACUGAGGAAAAAGCCACAUGUUUCUCAAUACAUUCCCGUUAGUACAGAGGGUGGCAGAUCCAGCCACGCCUCUCAAGGCCUAAAGCAGCAGGGAAACUCCACAAUCACAUGUGCACAGCAAGAUCGGAGGCUGAAGCCCUCGUAUUUUUCUGGGUAUUUUUGUUUGGCUUUUUAUUUUUUUAAGGCACUCAAUUCUGCUUACAAUGUAACGGGCACUGUGUUCUGGCAGGAUCUGCUUUUAAAAUAAAAGGUGGGGGAUAGAUAAGAAAUUAACAGGCCUCUUGAGUACAUGAUGACCUGUCAUAACUUUGACACCUGACAAUUGGAGAAUGGGGAGUAGAUGAAAAAUAACACAGUAAGGCUCUCCCUGACUCAAAAGGUUCAGAGAACCGGGCAUUUUGUCAGAAACUAGCAAACAACUAUAAUGUAUUCAAUUUGGAGAGACUUGGCUUUCCACCUCUUACUAGAGUGAAAAUUAUUUUUUCUACCCAAUACUAAAUCUUCCUGCUCUAGAGAAUUCCCCACUAAGAGUGCUGGAAUAAGGCAGAGCCCAUCUCCGCUAUAGAAAUCUGAAAGGCCAGGUACUCACUUUCCAAGCUUCCCUUGCAGCUAAGUCACAGCCAAUCAGAUGGACCCACCAGCUUUCAACCAGAAGCUGGUGAUGCAAAGAAGUGGGGCCAAUGGAAAAGCCAUUCUGGUGAGGCCAGCAGCAGGAGCAGCAAUUUCUGAUCUCCAGGGACAGUGAUGGUGGCAACGGUACCUUGGUGAUGUCCUCUGGUCAGGCAAGAUGUCAUCAGUGUCCUCACCAGUGACCACAAUUCUGGC